GCGCUAUUCACUCGAGGAAUGGCGGAUUUCUUUUUGGUAGUGUGCAUGUCGGUAGUCUAGUUCUUGGCUGAAGAAAAGUGUGCACAUUUAGUUCGUAUCUUGCAUUAAUCUGUACCCGCGCUGUUGGGACAGUGUAUUCAAAAUGGAAAACAGAAUCAAACGAGUGCGAAUUGUGGGGAAAGGACACGCUUCAUGUUUUGAACGUCUUUUGCUAGAGUGGUAUCGGCGAGAGAGUUUCGUCGAUGUAAUUCUGACGUGCGUUGGUAGUCCUGAAAAUCAUUUGAGUGAUGAAGCCGUGGCGCGCCAUAUACCCGCAAACCGAAGCGUAUUGGCAGCAGCUAGUCCGGUAUUUGCCGCCAUGUUUUGUGAAAACCCACUCGUGGAGGAAGAUGUUCGAAUCUCCGUUGUUGGCUACUCAUACACCUCUAUUCGUUCUAUCAUUGAAUACAUUUACACGGGAUCGCUCGAAUUUUCCGAUUGCGAUAAGGAGCAAAUCAAAGAAAUACUCAGAGAUUUCCUUAUCCCGAUUCCAAACACGAAGAAAAUCUCGAAAAAUCAAGAAAAAGAAACUGUAACGGACGAUGAAACUUGCGAAUCCAUCGCCAAAAGUAGAAGCCAGAUUAUAACAGAAACUGGGGCGGAGAACAGACGCAACACCACAUACGAUACCAACACCGGGAUAAGAAACGAAGAAGCAGAAGAACAUGGAAUUCACAUAGUUUCCUCCGUCUCUUUGUCAUCCAUGGGGGAUGUCCAAAUAAUACCGCCAACAAAAACCUAUCGUGCGAAUAAAAUGAGGCCUCUGGCUCCAAAAGCGUUUACACGUGCCGUGAAGAAUCCUGAACUAGCUUCAGCUUAUUCCCGGAAGAACGCUCUGCGACCACGAAAUAAGGUAAACCCCCACGACGCUGAGGAAUCACCGCCAGUCUUAGGAAACAUAACAACAAGAGUAUGCGAUUUCCAAAAACUACCAACCGCAUUAGAAUCGACAAUACAGAAACCGUUGAAUGCACAUAUCAACCCCCGAAACUGCAACCUGCCUUUGUCGGAACCAGUUAUUAACCAAGUUGAGGCAACGACUACUCCUCAACUCAACGUAAUUCGUAUAUUUAAUCGAAUGGUCGAAGCCCCGCAUUCUUCGAAGAAACAAACGACUAUGGAGUCCCUUCCUAUUCCGUUUUGCCAAUUUGGAUUAUCCAAGAGUUUCGACGAAAAGACGGUCAUCCAAUCUGAAAGUGUUUUGGUACCACCAGUGAAAGUAGAUAUUCCGAUCAUGAAAAACGGUCGGUGCAUAUUCACUGUGACGGAGGAAAUGGCCAGAGCCUCUUAUUACCGCAAUGUCAUCUCUGCUCUGUACGAUGUCCCGGGAACGUAUACUUUGUAUCGAGAAAGACCAACUCCAAACAUCGAUACAAUACCAUUCUGUGAACUUGCAAAAUUCCAAGUUUCCAAAACGCACAUCUUUGUUCCAUCCUAUCUUGAGAAAAAACCUUUGUUUACCUACCAAGACAGGCCUAGUACAAGGGCCCAACGUCAGUCGCAAACCAGCAUUUCUCUAUCGGGAAUCAGAAUCGAGUCGGUCCAUCAAGUCAACGGUAAAGUGCACAUCUGUACUCUGGGAGAACCACUUGUCAAUCAGGCAUCAGAAACUCUCUUUGAGGACUACCCACUUUCUUACCUGAACCCGGACCAAGUAGUUUCUCGCCUUUCAUUGGAACACAAUUAUUCAUUUGGCGAAACACCGUUGCCUACCGAUAGCGAGUGCUCCAAUCGUAGUGAAUUGGCUAAAGAUCUAGAAGACUACAAAAGUGCCAUACAGCUUGCAAUCAAUCAGCAACGUCGCAAAAAUCGGUUGAGACAUCGUAUUCAAUCUUAUUCAAAAGAGGUCUCCACCCUAAAACGCAGAGCCGUGGAGUUGCUUGAUAUUUGUCACUUAAUGCAAGAUGAAGCUCAUGAAAUGGAUCCCGAUUAUCAACGGUCUAACAAGAAAACUACAAGCGAACGGUCCAAAAUCGGGCAAAGCAAUGAUGCGGAUGAGAAAGUCCCUUGCACAGUUUGCAAUAAACUAAUCAAGAAAACUUGGCUCAAGCAACACAUGGUGAUUCUGCACACGGAAGAAAGAAACCACUUGUGCGAUGAAUGCGGCCGAACAUUUGUCAUUAAAGCUCAGUUGCGAGCCCAUCAGCUACGACAGCAUAAGGCUGUACCGGGAAAUCACCUGUGUGAGCAGUGCGGUAGGUCAUUCCGAUUCGCCCGUUAUUUAAAUCGCCACAUGUCGUUACAUUCGAGCGAGAAGCCCCACGUUUGUCGGUAUUGUGACAAAGCAUUUCGCCUGAAACCCGUGCUGAUUAAGCACAUUCGCACACACACUGGGGAGAAACCAUAUAAAUGCACGGUUUGCGGAAGAUGUUUCAGACAGAGGACAACUUAUGCAACCCACCUCAAGAUGCACGAAAAGAGACAAAUGGCUGGUGUGAGAGAAGGGAAUACUGGACUGGGGCAACUUCCUCGCCUCAAAUGUGAUUUUUGCUCUAUGACUUUCAAGCUGGAUCUCUUCUUAAUGCUUCACCGAGCUAAACAUACAGGAGAGACACCGGCGUUGCCUUGUCCUACCUGCAAGGAUACGUUUCCUUCUAUUAAGGAGCUCACUCUUCAUCGUAAAAGCCAACACCCAGAAUCGGUAUAUGCGUGCCAAAUCUGUCCCAAAGUCUUUACAAACAAGGCUAAUUUUGAUUUCCACGUGCACAAACAUUCAAAUCCUGAUGCUGUCAAGAAAAAAUAUCCAAAAGUGGAUCCCGUCGAUACAGGUCCUUGCACCUGUGACUUUUGCGACAAAGUUUUCAAAUCGCGUUCCGCGCGUGACUACCACAUUAAGGGAAUCCAUUUAGGUGACAAAUCGCUGAAAUGUCAGUACUGCGAUAAAACCUUUUCGCAUAAACCAUCGUUGGAGCAGCACAUGCGGACGCACACGGGCGAGAGGCCUUUCAAAUGUGAUCAAUGCCCAAGUUCAUUUAAGCAACAACAGCAUCUGACGGCCCACAUGGUUGUUCACACGGGUGAGCGCCCAUUCAGCUGUGACCAUUGCGAUAAGACGUUUCCUCACAAGACUUCUCUGUAUGCCCACUUACGUAUACACACGGGCAAAAGGCUGAUGUGUACGCAUUGCCGGAAAGUUCUGCCUAGCCUAGCGCAAUUGAUGCGCCACGAAGAAAAUUGCUCGUUGAAUACCAAUGAAUCUUCCGUUGAAUAACGGAUACUUUCAUCAUUGCUAUGCGCCAAACAGUUAGGUUUGCACCCCUUUGACGGAUAUUCCUUUUAUCGCGUGUAUACAUAGACUGAGACAACAGGUAACAAAUAAUUGAGAGGGUAGGGAGAUAAGUAACGAGUACUGGCAGUUAAUGAAUAAUCUCACAUGUGUGAGGACUUGUGACGAUUAACCAGAACGGUCAGAUCGCGUGGAUCAAUGAUGAAAGAAUCCGGGUUAGUGUUAGUCUCAGUGCUGGGUAGUUGAUGUUGACGAGUAGCCAAUCGUCGAUGGAUAACUAUACCAGACUGUUGUUGCUUGACAGUUUGAAGUAGAUUUUCUUGCUGUUUCUGCCAAUCCAGCACGUUACUCAAGAGCCUUAUAUACUUAAUCGCAAGCCGGAGAAUCUCAUUCUUGCUUAACUUUUUCUCCGGUGGGUAGGUUGGAACGAGUUUACGCAACUCAGAGAACGCACCGCUGACGUUUUGUUGGCGCCAGCGUUCGCGACUGUUACUGAAAGUCUUUCGUGGAAAGACGAUUAGCGGACGACCGGACUCUUCCGAUGUUGUUUUCUGUGUUACACGCCCUCCCAGAGGCGAAGUUGAGUGAGAUGGCUGUCCUCGAGCCUUAGUUGGGUUUAAUCGUUUGCGGAACUGCAAAGUGGUAGCACUAGAUAUGGUUGAUGGACUCUCCGCUUUGAUACUCUCAGACUCCUCGUGACUAGAACGGCUUGAGGAUGAUGUUGGCUCUUUCUUCACUUUAACGGUUUUCUUUGCCUGUUUGCGAAUCACUUGUGUUUAGAAAGCAUUUAUUUUUGAUCAAAAUAUCUUUUCACUUACUUGAACAUCAUCCUCGUGACGUGACACGUUGUCGUUAUCGUCUGAAUCGGGUGAAAAUUCUGAAUUGUCUUCGAACUCUGACGUGUCGACAUCGCUCGAGUUGGACGCCAUACUUCGGAUGCUGCUAUUGCUCCGGCUUCGAUUAUCUCGCUGCAUUUAGGCUGGAUAUCGUUAUUGUUGUUGUUCACGGAUGUUGCAGUGUGAAUGUUUUCUUCGACUUUACUUCAGAUGGGAACAAUUUCAACUAAAACGAUUAUAGCCGUAGGAAAACACAAGGAAAAAAAGGGGCGGUAUUUUAUUGUCAGCGCUAUCAGAUCGUAGGACAAAGUUCACCGUAGGCAAACUAGAUUUCCCAAUCAAUAACUCUAAUAUUUACCCAAAAUGUUAUUGUCUGCUACCGUCUCGUAAACUAGCUGAAUUUGUCACCAAUUCCAUUCGGACGGAUGGCUUUUUAUAUGGGCCAAAGGUCCGAAAAAGCGGGUCAUGCGCGCGAGCAUCAACCCUGUUUGGUGAACGGGAGCGUCCAAUCCAGUGACGAGGAAGAGUUGUAAGUUGACAGGGACCCCGCCCUCCUAUAUUUUCUAUUACGAAUCUUUUGACGUUCUUCGGUAAACCCUCCCCUCAGUCGCUCCGAUUCCUUUCCUGUGAAAAAGUUAAAAAAAAACUCUUAUUCUACUUCUACACAAUACAUAUCAUAUUCCCCUUUUGAGAGGGGUUGGUUGACUCUCUAUUCAAAAGCAGAAAAAAAGGCCCCCAAAAAAUGAUCGUAUUAACUCGAUAAAUGUGCGUGGCAUAAAUCAGCGACUUUAAAACCUCGAAACUCGUGGGAGAAAAGCGGUUCAUCAGCUUCAGCUUUUCAAAAGUAUCGCACGCACAUCGAAUAGGCCUUUAAAGUCUGGACAUACAAAGAUUAGCAGACAUUUGAUACGAUAAGAAGCCACCAAGAACUUCUUUUCCAGGGCUACCGACGAAGUAGAGUUGAAUUGUUUCUGACAUCUGUCAAUCGCCACUUGGCUGUCAUGUCGCCUCCAUUUUUUUUUCCAAGCUUUUCAGUUUGUUUUGCUUUUCAUGGUAAUGGCCAUACGAGUUUUGCGGCCAACCGGUAGAUAAAUUAGCAUCGAUAUCAGUCAAUAGGCAGUACAGAAUUAAACAUUGGGUCACGUGGCACCAAACAGCGAUAGUUUUUUGUUACUGUGUGUGAAUGGAUUUUCGAUACUGUGCAUUUCGAGUGUGUAUUUACUGUACAUAUAGACCUAUUAUAAUACUCAUUGAAACUGAAAAGAGAUCAACGUGAAUCGCCUCCCUCCAUUGGCACGCGACCGACCACCGAUCCAAUCAAUUUAUUCAACCUCAUGACCCUUCUUUUCUCUUUUCAUGAUAAUUCAAUGUGGCUACAAAAUUGCCAUUCAUUCUCCCCCAUAUGAAAUCCUAAUAGAUUUUGUUUUGUUAUUGUAGUUAGAGGAGAAGAAAAAAACGAGAAGAGGGUGAGGGGAUUUUUAUGUGACGAGUUCCCAAAGCUGUCAAAAUACGUUAUUAAGCUGCCUUUCCCUUUCGCUUCUAAAAGCACAGUCUUAUCUCGAGUUAGCAGACGCUGCUCUGUGUGUACUAAAUAACAUCGUCGGCGACGCACGCGGCGUCGUUGACAAAGCAGCAAUAUUCUGUAUUUUGAAAAGAAUUGGAUCACCAACUAUAAUACAGUUGCCUUCUUCUACGUUUGGAUUCAAUUUGUCCCCCAAAAUCCUGAAUCGAUUCCGUGUUUUAUUGAUCACAGCGCUUCAAUAUUAUGACAUGACAUUCUAGAAAAAUUAGCAGACAUUACUUUUGUGACAUCAGUGGAGCAACUAUCCCUUUAAUGUAGGCGAGAUGGGGAUCAAGAAGAAAUAAAGAAAAAAUUCAUCGGAAUGCACAAAAUACGAGGAAGAGAGGGACGAGAAGAACAAACGUCAGAUAAAGAGGCAUCCGUGGCUCACAGACAUCACGAGCCACAAAGGUACGGUCCCAAUCUUGUGAUACACUGCUAUUUGGAACAGGAAUCGAGACGACCACUUUCUCUGAUGAGUAAAAACUGAGGGGGAAGUUGCAGCUGGUGGAAUUGUGGCAGACGUCAGUAGCCUCCGUUAAGUUGAAAACAGUUUUGAGCAGGUCAAAUUUCACCGACAACUUAUUCCGUACCUUAAAUAAUCACAUAAACGUUGGAUAUGAUUAGCAAAUGGGAUGCAAAUAAAUAUUUUAUGUUGUUUUUCUAAAAUGAAGUGGUUUUUGCAAACUAUGCUAAUUUUAUCCAAAAGAAAAUGGUUGAAGAGAAGGAAUGGUUUGAAAAUUUUCCAAAUGGCAACGUCUAUUCGUAUUUUCGAACCCUUCCCCAUGAAUCAUACCGAAUCAGUUUUAAUUCCCAUUCUUGCAACAUCAGCGAAGGUAGGCUGCUGCUACAGUCCCAGUUUUUUAUUUUCAAUAUUAAUAAAUCUUAUUCAUCUAACUUUCAAAUAGACAAAUCAAAGUGUACACAUUCAGCAUUUCAACGUUGGAGAAAUUGCGCUUCAAGAUUCUCCCCAAUUAACCAUCACAACUUAACGAUAGCACUAUUGUUCUACAGUGGGAACUGGUUGAGGCUCAACCUGAAACAAGGGUCGAGUACGAUAGCGAUAAAUGGUGAUGGCGUAACGAGCACAAAGCUGAACUGAGGCAAAACCGAGGACAAGCCAUGUCAAAAUUCUGACAUUCUCCGGGACAGGCCCAUCGGGACGGCUCUGGUCACCUUGUCUAUUCAAAAUUCCAAAGGAAACAAACCAGGAUAUUGCACCAGGGUGUAGCGAACGUAGGGAUCAAGCCGGGUGUUUUCGAGUAUGAACCACCCUAUCAUAACAGUCAAAAGAAUUGACAAACAAACUAAACUAGUUGUUUCUGCGUCGAAAUUCCCAAAGUACUGGAAGGCGAUGUUAGCGUUCAGCAACUUAGGCGUGCAUAAUAUCAAAGAUAAGUUGUUUUUAGCCAAUUGUUUUCAAUGAUUCUCUGGUUACUUACAGAUGCAAUUGUCGUCCAUGUGGUAUACAGUGCUAUGCCAUUAUGUAUCAAGAUUCUCUGCAAUCGUACUUCUUUUAAAACUGAAGUUUUUAAUUUAAAUUGUUUGUAAUAACCUGACGCUAGCGACAGCAAACGAUAGCCAUCCCGUGCCAGCAAUAAAAAAUAGGAAAAUGCUUGCCACGACCAUUAAUUUUCGGUCCCAUAAAAAUAUCCAUGCCGUGUUGAGACUGUAAUUCAGUGCAAGGGCGACGUAAAAUAACCAAUUUAGGACAACUGGUUGGACGAAUACUCGGCUGCUAGGCCCACUUCUUCUGUAGACAGUCGAGACACCUAUUAAAUUGCACCGGCUCCAAGAAAUAUGUAGAUGAUACUCCAUAUUGAGAAGGUAAAUCCGGCUGGAGUAAUGUACACCGUAUAGUUAGCAGAGACCUGUCCCGUAUUCUGGUUAAAAAGGGCUAAUAGAAGAUUCACGAGUUAGCAAGUAUUACAAUUUCAGUUCGUCUGCAGUACAAUGUAAACAAAACAAACCAUACCUUCAUAACCUGAACCACCUAGUGCAUUGAAAACAACCAUGACAACAAACGUUAUUGCCAUCAAAUGCACCAAGCCAGCCAAAAACAUGCGUCGUUGCUCCAUGACGAUGAUGCACAACAAGUAGACAACCUAGACGAAUGGAAUCGAUCAAGUGUGUCAAACGUGAAAUCACGAAAAAAGUUGUGUUCGGCACCGUUGCGAUACUAAAGAAAUGUCGAUUUACACAGACAUUAAAAAGUUGCCCAACAAGUGAACAGCUACAAACAAGUCAGACAAAUGUCCAUUCAAUAACUUUUGUGUUGUUGAAGCACGUAGACACAGAGUGACACAGUCGGACACAGGAGUCUGACGACUGAAUCGACUGAAUGUUUACGUGAGCUCGUAGCUGUGGACGUGCCGCAUGAAUUUAUAGGCGUGUCGAUGGCGGUCUUUCUCAAGGACAAGUUUAGUAGGCCCCCAGAGCUAUGACGCAAAUAGCUUCAAAAUGGAACACACAAAAAUUCUAAGAGAGAGUCUUCAUCCCAUUUUCUUUUCCUUACAGCAUUGGUUGUGUUGCAACGUGAUAAAUAGUCCAGGGAAUUUUACUGUUAACGACAAUCUUCUAAGUAAAUCAUCAAAUUUAAGGAUUGGUGACUAAUUUUUGCCAGCGGGCUGUAACUUAAACGCCUUGAUGGAGUUUCUAAGAGGGGUGAAUUGUUUCAAACAGCAUCUUUCUCUCGCGUCAACGCGGCAAUGUUUAUUUUUCUUUUGGUACCUUAUACAGCGCUAUAUCUAUAUCCACUUUAUUUCCGCAGUGCCCCACAACCUGUUUGGUUGAGCAGUCGGAUAUUUAGAACGUUGUUGCCUGCAUUCAUUUUGUUUAGGUAUAAAAUGUUUAGGAACUUUUAAUGCAUAUUGGAGAACUAAAAGUUCGCACUUGUCUUUACAUUUUAAUCCAAAUUUGUUCCCUGAUUUAAGGCAAAUCGACAUGGUUUGAGGAUCAUUUCUGAGCAACUGUCUAAAGCGAUCUAAAACCUUACGACUGAUAAAUAUACAGCCAAAGAAAAGCAAACGAAC